rnacentral:lncRNA from 1 species
UGUCAGGAAUGGGUCGGCUGGAAAGCUUAGGACAAAAAGCCCAAGAGGAUGUAUUAAUAACUUGUCUAAACAGAGAUGUCAAAGGCCCUGGAGGGUCACCUGUAGGCUGGGUUAUUUGCCAAAGCAGAGGAGGCAAAUGCUGGAGACUGAGGGGCCUGUGAAGUGGAAGAGGCAGACACCUCCCCUGGGUGGAGCCCUCUCAACCCCAAGAGUCUCUCGGAAUGGAGGACUGAGCCUGACUGGAGGACGGAAUUCCUACACAGGUUCCCGGCAUACAAUUCCUGUUUAAUACUUCGUUUCUUAUAUGCAACCUCAAAACUGCCCUUUGUAUGUAGCAAAUACAGACUGGGACUCCCGUUUAAUUUUUAAAGUGAUUGCCAAUUUCUAGAUAGCAAACUUGAAUGAAAAUUCAAGUUUGGACUUUACACUAGAGUAUCUUGGGCCAUAGAGUCUGUCAAUAUUAAAUUGGUUGUUUCCUGUUUCCUUAUCUAGAAGAGGUAGGGAAAAAUUGAUGGCCUCUAUCUUACAAACAAUGCACUGAUUUUAAAAAAGAAGAAGAAGAAAGAAA